CUCGGAUCAGGUAGGGAUACCCGCUGAACUUAAGCAUAUCAAUAAGCGGAGGAAAAGAAACCAACCGGGAUUGCCUCAGUAACGGCGAGUGAAGCGGCAAGAGCUCAAAUUUGAAAGCUGGCUCCUUCGGGGUCCGCAUUGUAAUUUGCAGAGGAUGCUUCGGGUGCGGCCCCUGUCUAAGUGCCCUGGAACGGGCCGUCAGAGAGGGUGAGAAUCCCGUCUGGGAUGGGGUGUCCGCGCCCGUGUGAAGCUCCUUCGACGAGUCGAGUUGUUUGGGAAUGCAGCUCUAAAUGGGUGGUAAAUUUCAUCUAAAGCUAAAUACUGGCCGGAGACCGAUAGCGCACAAGUAGAGUGAUCGAAAGAUGAAAAGCACUUUGAAAAGAGAGUUAAAAAGCACGUGAAAUUGUUGAAAGGGAAGCGCUUGCGACCAGACUCGCCUCCAGGGUUCAGCCGGCAUUCGUGCCGGUGUACUUCCCUGGGGGCGGGCCAGCGUCGGUUUGGGCGGCCGGUCAAAGGCUCCCGGAAUGUAGUGCCCUCCGGGGCACCUUAUAGCCGGGAGUGCAAUGCGGCCAGCCUGGACCGAGGAACGCGC
rnacentral:rRNA from 4 species